rnacentral:rRNA from 1 species
UACCAGCACCCCGAGUGGUCGGGACGUUUAUUGGGCCUAAAGCAUCCGUAGCCGGUUCUACAAGUCUUCCGUUAAAUCCAGCUGCUUAACAGAUGGGCUGCGGAAGAUACUAUGGAGCUAGGAGGCGGGAGAGGCAAGCGGUACUCGAUGGGUAGGGGUAAAAAUCCGUUGAUCCAUUGAAGACCACCAGUGGCGAAGGCGGCUUGCCAGAACGCGCUCGACGGUGAGGGAUGAAAGCUGGGGGAGCAAACCGGG